rnacentral:lncRNA from 1 species
UACUCACUAUUGCACGCUCCUUCUGCAGUACUCUCUGCCUUUGGUAAUGGUCAUUUGAACGGUAAGAGCUGUACCUGACAAGAGAGGUACCAUCAGCCCCAGACACAAGUCAAGACUCAGAACUCAUCCUGAGAUGCACUGCCCUCAAACACAUGUUCAUGCUCACCGCCGCCUCCGGUCACUUCUCCUGCAAGGGGACACAGAGGGAGACCGGCUUCUGGAACUGGAUGAUGAAGAUGAGGAGGAGGAAGAAGAGGAAGAGGAGGAACAUCUUCUGGACCGUCCAGAGGAACUGCAGCUGGACCUGUAAUAAAGGGCACAGGAAUGAUGGUAGUGGGACAGAUAGGUCCACCACCUCAGCCAGGUCAGACUCCCUCCCUGUCAGGAUGUUCAGGACCAUAGAGAAAGGGAAGCGGAAGUUUCAGAAGAGUUUAUUUGCAGGUAACGAGUGGGAGAGCCUUCAUAAAAUUUUAGAUACAUCAAGCAUUUUUACAGUUUUACAUAUUUUUACUACCCUUUUCCCUGAGAUGGGGGCCUUACUACAUAGCCCAAGCCGGCCUUCAACUUGUGAUUCUCUUAUCCCUGUCUUUGCCAGCACUGGGAUUGUGCUGCCAUCCCUAGUAUGCAGAGUUCUUCUCUUGGUGCUGAGGACUAUGCCAUGGCCUUCUGCAUCCUUG